rnacentral:misc_RNA from 1 species
AAUUUUUUAGUUUCAAUUUGAAUAUUAUCAAAACAACCAACUUUAUCGGUUUGAUUUAACGAAAUACAAUGAACCCACUCAAAUUAACCAAUGCAUAGAAUAUUAACAAACUUGAACCCAACUCAUUAUUAGACAAAUCAGGCUAUUACUCCAAGGAUUGAAAUCUUUUUUAAUUUUUUUAAAAGGAAAAAAAAAGAUUCAGAUCUAGUCUUAAAUCCAACCAGCCAAUUCCAAUUUAGUUAAAAACAAGAGAGAACAGUCCGGUACAUGUUGGUUCCGUACCCAAGCCGAACCAUGGCCUGCCUGCCCUUCGUUGUUGUUCCUAGCCGCAAUUCCUGACAGGUUAAACUUUAGACAUGUCCUGUCACAGUGUCAACUUCCGCGCUUGUUUUUCAAAUGAGCCAGCCGCCUAUGCCAUUUCAGUUUCAGGAAAAAGGAACUCUUGGUGGGGUUUUCCCCUUACAGCACAACAGACCAAAUCAAGUAUUCAUGUUUUGGUUUUCUACCUCUAAUUUAAGAAAUUUAAAAGCUCUUGCAGGAAAAAUGGAUCACAUUUCACCCUUCUUUCACAAGCGAGGCCCUCCCUUGGUGUCUUGAUUUUAGAAAGACACAGGCGAGCAUGCUAGGAAAUGGCCGAAUGAUACAGAACUACUUCAUUUGAUGAUCAAUGACUACAUACAUUCAGCCUAGACAAAAGAACAAGAAGAAAGUAAAAUUGCGAUUUUCAUCUUUUCUUUUCAAGGACAACAGGCAGUAGACUCCUGUGGCCGCCUGUGGGCUGCUGCAUCAGCCGGAAUUCCUAACCAACAAUAGCAGCUAGUUCAAAUUUUCCUGGAAAAAAAAGUUUCCCAAGUAAGAGAUCAAUUAUGGUUUGGAUUUGUUUAACAAAUGAAUUUAAGCUGAAAUCUGCCACCAAACUUGAUCUGCCAAAGUUCAACAUCAUCUCCUCUGUCAUACUCUCUAACAUAUUGUGGAAUUAAUGAAAGAUCAACACGUUUGCCCACAAAACAAGGGGAGGAUCCAUAUUCAAGGUCCUCAUAUUCUGCAUCAUUCGUUGCUAUAUUUUAAGUUAAAAUGAUAAUAUAAGUCAUAGGAAGAGAAUAUGGAACUGGAAACACACAUACCUUCCUCCUCUCUAAGAUAACCUAGGAAACGCGCAUAGCCAUUUGCGACAACAUCAAGAUCGUCAAGACUGAAGUUGUAUCGCUUUUCCAAUGCCAAGUAUAAAACCUAAAACACAAAAAAAUAACGCGCUCAUUUUCUUAUAAAAUGCUUGGGACUUCAUUGAUUCUUAUAGAACCAAUAAUAUAAAGAUACGAACAGGAGAGCAUCAGAAUCAAAACCAUCAGCACCAGGGAAAGUGGAAACUCGCAAAGAGUGACCUUUUUUUUUCACAUUGAAGAGCAACAUACCACAAUUUAUUUCAUAAUGAUUACAUGAAGAAGCAAUUUUUCCUUCUUCUUUUUUUCCAACAUUCUUCAUCCUUUCUUUUGGCUGCAAGGUCAGCUAUCAUUAAGCCGUUAUACUAAGCUAAUACAAACAUGAAUAUGUAUUCUCAUACUCGAAUACAAAAAGGAUCCAAUAACCUUUUUGAAACUCAUAUUCAAAUGGAUUUUUUAUAGAUCUAAACCUCAACUGUUUAGCAUAUUUCAAGCAGAAAGGAAUCACUCACUCCUACGUCACAAAUGCUAUUCCUUACUGCUAACCAUUUUACUUUAUUGAUGCAUACCUUUUUUGAACCCAAUGACAUUAGUCUCUCUAGAAUACUGAAAAGAGCAUCAGUAAGAUCAUCACUGUAUAUCACGUCAGCAGCUAGAAGCAAAGAAGCCCCCUGAGCUUCUUCAACUUCUGUGGGGGUCCAAGAAUAACUGGAUAUCAUAACAAAGAAAAUGUAAUUUUUGUUAUAAGAAAAGCAAUUUCAUUAAAAAAGUAAGUUGAUUACAAUAAGGAGGAUAAUACAUCUUCCUAAGGAGAAGAAAAUACAAAACCAAGCAACAUAACCAAACAAAUUAAAAACCAAACCCUCCAAUCUUGCUGCACUCCUAAACUCUGUUGGAUUUACUCUAUCUACACAAAUCCCACAAAUCCCUCACAUCCCGACUAGGAAUUUCAUGGGAUAUUCUUUUUCUCCUAUUCCUUCCAACUUGUUCUAACUUCCCAUAAUUGAUAGAAGAGACCAACUUCUGCAACCCUCUCCAACCUUCUUUCUUCCUACUAUAGGUGCAUGGAGGGUAACCUUAACUAUAGACCUAGGUUACAAGUUUAAGACCCAAAUUUUUUACAAGGUUUGCAGGUCUGAAUUAUCCUUCGUUAAAAUUUGAUUCUCUUUUAAUAUUUCUGGUGCUAUCAUAAAUAUUGGAACUAUCCUCCCUAGGCAUGGGGAGCAAUCCUUAGCAAGAGUGAAUAUCAUUUGUACAAGCAGCACCUUUUCUCUUCUUCUACAAAACUACAAUCAUUAAAACAGUACUCUUCAGUCAGAGGAAAAUCAGCAAAACCACACAACUCAUCAAUCCAUAAGAAAAUGUGAUAGAUUUCUCAAAUAUACAGACUGUAUUUAUAAAACUGAAAAGAAAAAUUCCAUUGGAAGCCACCAAGAUAUUUUAAGAGCUUGUUAAAAAGAAUAUCAACUAACAUUUUAC